AAAUGGAGAUACAUUAUACUGGUAAGUACAAAAAUAAUUCAUUUUUGAUUUAAUUUAUUAUCUUCCCUCCUUCCGAUGUGAUUAUAAACUAUAGCCCUCUCCAUCAAAUUUCCAGUUAUAGAAAUUUAAUGAUAGUCAUAUAAGUCAGCUGAAGUGUUAAUAUGCUAAACCGAACAGAAAAUUCCGAGAAAUCAGUACAAAAUUAUUUUAUUCGUAUAUUGGAAAUUUUAUUUCGCACGACUUUUAUGCAUUUAUUUUAUUGAUAACUUUAUUAAGCAAAAAAAAAAAAAACAAAACAUCCAUAAUACUUGCCUUUUUAACGGAAAAAUUCCAGGACAAUUCACUUUUGUCAACUUUAAAUAUUUAUUGACCGUUAAUUUCAACUUCCUUUGCAUGUAGAUAAUUUAAUACCUACCACACCACAUAUUUAAUCAGAAUUAUGAGAAUUUAACAAGUCAGGUAAUAGAAUUUAAUUGCCAUUUUACAUUUAGGAAAGAGAUUUGUCAGAAUCUUUAACAUUUAUAUCUGCAAGGUUCAUGAGUUUAUCGUAUUUAGAAGUUAUUUGGCGUGCGCAUACAUGUUAUUACUAUCAUAUAAGACUUACACAUUAUGGAAUUGUUUUUGUUGGUCUCCGGUCAAAUAUCUUUUUUGUUCGAUUAUGUAAUGGCACCCGACAUGGCCGGUAUCAGUACAUGGUCGGUAUCAGUAGCACAAGUAAAAAGUCACCAUAGUCCGUUGCUUGAAAUGAAAGUGACUCGGAAUAUUCAAUUUGGGAUUAUAGCCUAGUACCCUAAUGUUGAAACUAACUUGAUCAAAUUUUUUUUUUAACAUCUAUGACAUGAUUACAGUGUUAUUAUACCCUGUUGCCUAUUUAACCCUCGAGAUUUAACCCUUACUGUCUGUUCUUUGUUUAUAUGGGGAUGAGGUGUGAUCAGCUAUCCAUUUUGUGUCCAUUCAUCAUUAUAUUAUAUGCUAGUCUGAAAAAAAAAAAAACCAAUACAAAUGUACGCAUUUUCCAUUUAACGCGACAACCUGCAUCCAAUCUUCAACAUUACCCUAGUUGGUCUUAUGUUUAGAUAGGAUUGUUUUUCUCAUUAAAACCAUUGAUUUACACAAGUUAAUGCAAAAAUACGAAAUUUAGUAUUUGCAAUUUUAUUGAUUGUUCUCCCAAUAUUCGGCAACAGAUAUUUGAACAUAAAACGUAUAACUGGCAUGACUGGGAUAAAUAGUUUCCAGAUAAACGGAUACUAAAUUCUCACCCUCGAAUUGUCGAUUUUUGUCAUCAUUCUCAACCAAAUCAACAUUUCAGUCUGGUAGAGAGAUGUCUCAUAUUGACAAUGAUACCAAUCGUACCGCAUCUUUAUACAGCAUUUUCUCACUUUCCAACAUCAAAUUUCUUAAGCAUAUAUAUUUGCUAUGCAAAUGAACACUUUUAGUUGGAUAAUUUAAACGUUUUUUCCAAUUUUCUCAAGUUUGAUAUCUAAUGACAAAUUUGAGUUCAAACUUACGUAUCGUUAUUGACUAGUAUAGAUUUUUAAUGUAGAUUUUCGAUGAUUGUUUUGAAAGUACAGCAUAACAAUUACUGUUCAUAUUGAGACAGACUGAUCUUUGUCAUUUGCUCAAUGAACAUAUGCUUUUUUUGUGUGAAGAUUUAGUAAAUAUUUCUAAUUGUAGGCGUUAUCAAGAUGCUUAGUCACUCGUCAUAUUGUUGACAGUUACCACACACCUUUAAUUGAAUUAUAUACAUUUCUAUAUUAUGCACUUAUGUCUAGGAUUUAUAAUUCGUCACUGAAAAAUAUUAAGGAUGUUCGCUGCCCAGUUUCAAAGUAAAUAACUUUUCCAUAAAACUAGUAUGCAUUGAUAGGGAAUAAAUUGAGGAAUCAAAAAAGCAAAAAAAAAUAGGGGUCAAUGUGCUUGUUUUCGAGAUAUUAGCCAUUAGAAUUUUGGCGGGAAAAUGUUCUCUCUUGAUUUUUCAUAGUUUUACGUGUAUCAUUGACCAGUUAAAGUUCUCAAAUACUAUUAAAAAAUAAAUAAAAUUUUAUAAGACGUAUAAUUAUACAUAUAGAAGAUUUAUUAAAAGAAAAAUGGGGUGUUCAUGGGGAAAUUUUUUUUAAGGCAUUUAAAUGGAUAAAACCAGAGGAUUCCGUAAAUCUGACAAAAAUUCCCAAACAUGACAAGCAGACAUCCUUAACGUUUUACGGUUAGUAUUAAAGAAUUAGUGCGUUUUUCCCCAGUUAAUGCUGGAAAACAUUUGUAGAAAUGUGUACCACUAACAUUUUUUCAUUGUAAAACUGUACACCUUAUUUCUAUGAAAAAACUAUCAACACCCUCGUUCACAACUUGUUUUAUUUCACCACAAAACAGACAACAUUCUUGAGACAAUUAACUCUUCGUUAAACACUCGUUGAGAAUAUGUCUCAGAUGUGAUGUGCAAUCGGUUUGCACUCGGAGGUCUAGGUAAUGGGAUGAAAAUUAAAUUGCAUUUUCAAAUAAAAAUUAAUGUAUGAUCAUGAUUCAACUUACUAAGCGUGGAAUUAAUAAACAUGGGCAUGAGAAUUAACAGCAAACUUAUACUUUCUUGAUUAAUGUUUGUGCUAAGGUAUGGACUUUCGGCAAUGACUGUACAAAAAUACGAUAUUAGUACCCGAACACAUUAAAUCUUUGAUACUACUAAGGAAUGAACGACCUUGACUAUACAUAUGAGGGUAUCGCACGGUCGGUUAUAAACAUCUGGUUUGUCAAUCUAAUAUGCUAAAUCAUGGGUGGGGAAAACCAACUUCUCGAAAUUUCACUACUUCUACGGAAUAAAGGAGUAGGUCCGGUAAUGGCCGAUUUUGGUCUCAAACUUUAGGUUCAUCUGAUUCAAAAUUUUAAACACUUUUUACACACUUAAGUGUCUACUUUAGUCGAUUCAAUCAGUUUAAGUGAAAGAUUUAAACAGAUUUAGUCAUUAAAGACUCCAAAAUGCAUGCUUACCUAUGAAAAAUCUAUCAAAUAUGUCACUUUUCAGAUGGUUCUUGUCAAAAAUGAAAGUGGUCGCAUCCGUGUUCAUUCUCAACCUUUACAGUUUCUGUCUAAAAAUAAAAUCAAAUGCUAAAAUUAUUAUGAUUUCAGUAAUUUAGCAUGACUAAAUGAUGCUAGAACCCGAUACAUGUACAUGUUAUUGUUACUAACAGCCCAUAUUUAUGUAGUAGAAGUAUUUCUUCUUUCCAAUAAAUAGCUAAAAGUUGACAUUUAAACAAUUUUGUAAUUCUGCCAUACUAUAGGGCCAAACAGGGGUCUUACUGGGCCUACCCCUUCGUGACUAAUAUAUAAAAAAAUGUUUUGGUUAUAAUUGCACUAGUUGGAAAAUUAUUUCUUUACGGAUGCCAGCAGAAACGCACAUUGAUUGAAGGUGUAAUGCUGCUCAUUGACUGUCCAACUGUCGAAUGUCGCAGUCAGAAUUUACCAGACUCAUUUCUGGACUUGAAUAUAGAUAGGCGAAAAUCAUUCAACACCAGUGUACAUUAUGUAGAUUGGUACGUUUAGUACUUGACCACCCUGAAAUUGUCAACAUGUGGGUUCAUUACAUGUAUAUUAGAAAGAUCUGCAUAACUCUCCUUUUCUUCAAAAAAGUGUCAAAACCAAUAAUUCUCUUAACCAAGAUAUGAGUCAAAUAUUAGUAUACACAAACAUAAGAUAAGUGAGCUCAUUCCACUGUGAUAACAAAUAAACAUCUUCCUUCGUAAAAAAGAUAAAUUGACAUUUUUGUCAGCCUGCUGAUUAUUGACUUUUUUAUGUUGUUUUUUUUUUAUCUAUACUGGUAAUUACCGUAACAACAUUACUGGUGGCUCCAACCCGCCUGUAAUCGCUCACCUCACUUAAUAGUAACUUAAUUUCUACUGCAAAAUACGUAUUUAUAAAAUGAUUUACCUUUUCUUAUUCUUUAUUAAUGCAAGUUAAGACUUCGUUUCUUGUAUUCAUACAGCCUCCUUUUGACAUUGGUCGUCUAUUGUUCUCUCAGGCGAGAUUGUGCUAUUUUGCUGUGUUUUCUCCUGAUUUUGAGGAGUAUGUUGUCACAACUUUUUUGAGCUCAAUGCUCUUCAACUUUGUACUUGUUUGGCUUUAUAAAUAUUUCGAUAUGAGCGUCACUGAUGAGUCUUGUGUAGACGAAAUGCGCGUCUGGCGUAUUAAACUUUAAUCCUGGUGCCCUUGAUAACUAUUGUCAUAUCUAAACAGUUGUAAAAAUCUAGCAUUUACUCUUGCAUGUAAAAUAUAAUUUUCUGAAGUGACUUUUUUUUUACUUAUUUUAUCUGUUUGUUUAUCAAAAGUGAUACUUGUCAGCUAUCUAUAAGAACUGUUUUCUCUAUUCGUACAUUAGUUCGGUCAUGGAAGUAUUAUAUUAUAUCAAUAUACUACUGGCAUGGUUCGGCCAAGUUUUCUAACAACUAUAUUGAUGUGCCCUGUAAUCAUCUGAACAUGCUAAGUGUGUGUAUUAUUAGUGUGUUUUACGAUGAGAAAAUACUAAUUAUGAGUUCUUUGCCCUUUAUUGUUCAUAAUUAUUCCGGGUGAAUGACAGAUCUCCUUGCACUGUCUACAGCGUUUUUGAUAUCAAGAAAUAAUUCCGUGUAAACCAGGGCCUCACUGACUUUACUAUGAAGACCAAGAUUACCUUAAAAAACACUUUUUGCAAAGGGUUUUGUUAUAAGUUAUAAAAGAUUUGUGCCAUAUACUUCAUAUAUCAUCACAAAGUGCUAGAAAAUAAAUAUGCAAUGAAAAAGUUUGUUGUAUGAACUGUUUUCAAAGAUGGAAUCCAAAUCAUAUAUUCCUCACGGUGUUUUUUGGCAUAAUAAUUUUCCGCGGUGUCGGCCAUAUUGUAUUUUCUUAUCUUCUAUCGUUCUGUAUGAGGACCAUCGUUUGCAUGAUGUCUAUAACACUAACAUACAUCAAAGAUUAAACAACAUGAAUAACAUGGAUUACACCCAUGUUUGCAAAGUCAAAUUGCAUGACAAAAGACAGUGGAACAAAUCCCUCCACAAAGAACUACUUUGUAAAACUUAAGAUUAACAAAAAGAAUGAAGCAAAAACGCUACUAGGGACUUGUUCUUAACUUGUUUAAGGUACUACAGAAGUAUCAUAUGAUAAUGUGAUAGCCAUAGUAGAUAAUUAUUUGUGUUCAUGUAAAUGUCAUAAAGAAUGGAAACAAACAUGCUUAUCUUACUUUCCCAUCAAUUAAUGUCAAAAGUGAAGAGUAGCCAUGUAAAACAACAGAAGAAGCCUGUUUUGUAUUGCUUUUAAUUAUCGGAACAAACGCUAAUGCUGGUCAACUUCAUGUUUUCUGAAAGUUUAAAAACUAAAAAAAAAAACAUUGCCAAACAAUUUCUAAUCAAUAACAAAAUAAUUGUACUAGUCAUUCGUUUUACAUAAGAUACAUAGAAAUACCUUCUCGCGUGUAAAGAAAUAAGUUAACAAUAUAGCCGCCAGUUUGCUGAAUAGAAAAACAAUUUAUUGAAGAGAGAAACAUACAAGAAUGCUUUGAAAACAAAUUUAUCCUUUAAAAGCAUAUUGAAAUUUGAAAUCUUAUUCAUUGAUUUUUUUUAAACGAAUGGAGCCUGUAAUUCAGUAGUCGUCGUCUGUUGCUGUAAAUCAUAUAUUUGUUCGUUCAUUAUUUUGUAAAUAAAUCAGGCUGUAAGUAUUCUCGUUUGAAUUGUUUUUACAUUUGUCAUUUCGGGGUCUUUUAUAGCUUAUAUGCGGUAUGAUUUUUGCUCGUUGUUAAAGGUCGUAUGGUAUUUCUAUGUCAUUUGGUCUCUUGUGGAGAGUUGUGUCAUUGGCAAUCAUGCCACAUCUUCUUAUUCUUAAAUAACUGAAUUUGCUAUUCAAGUUUCUAAACCUUUUGACUUCAGAGUGUAUAUAAUUAUUAAAAUAGAGUUUGGAGAUACCAAAGAGAGAAUACAAAAAACUCACAAUGCAAAGAGAAAUCGACGAAAUCAAACAUGCAGUAUCAUCAUCUAUACCCUUAAUUGACGCUUGCUCGAUGUAACCUUACACAAAUAUUAAGAGGAACGGACUGAGUGUACGAUAAACAGUGUGACCAAUGUGAAUUCCGAUUGAAUACGCUGACUUUGAAGAGUUAACAACCUGUCUAUCGUUCUAAGUUAUCACUGCAUGAUAAUGAUGGUAAUUGGUGGGCUAUCUUCUAUCAAAAUAACAAAAUUACCCACUUCAAAAAUACAAUAAAUCAAGUGAUAAGACGGUUUGAAAACAAUGAUAGCACUACUUAUAACCGAUGAUAACAAAAGUUAAUUAAGGGUUGACACAUUAAUUAUCAAUUUUAAUUGACAAUUAUUCGACUUGUAUUACACAUUAUCCUUUACACACCCCAUCAUACCGAUAAGCUAUGUUUAAUAUCAUUUGCAUUUGGAGACGACAUACAUUUUAAUAGUCAAAGAUGCCAUCGCAUGCUCAUUUAUUUUAGCCCAAUCAGUCAUGUCAGUACAAAACACUGAAAGAUCAUUUACACAAUUAUCUGCAAAUUCGAAAUAUAGUUAGUUCUGAAAAUUCUAGAUAUCGUUCUGAAAAUUCUAGAUAUCGUAAUGAUUCAUGUACUAAAGUGUAAAAAUAAACGAUAAAAGGGCAGUUUAAGUUUCGAUAUAAAUUAAAAACAAUAAAGUACUACAUAACUUUUGGGCAUUUGCUAUCUGCUAACACGUGCAUAAGACUCAUAAAAUUGAUACAUUUUAUAAAGAGUGACAUGCAUAUCUUAGUGUACUAAUCACACCAGAGAGAAAAAAGCUGGCAACAUAACCAAGACUUCACCGGAAGAAUAAAAAGCAUCAACAUUAAGUUCUUCCGUCAGUUUAUUGUUAUUUCUUUUCAGCUACCUGUUAAGAGUAUCAGGCGGUGAUGUAUUAAUAUAAAGCACCAAUACACACAUUUUGGCAUUUUUCUGUUGAAGCAGAGUAACCGCACCCCUUGAAAACAAUGAUUCUCAUUUGUUCUUUUUUUAAUUGGAGCCUAAAAAGUAUGAGUAUGAUCGUUAUUUAAUAUUCAAACUUUUCUGAAGUUUAUAAAAAUAAUUAAGUACUUAUUUACCCUUCACCAGGAACGUCAAAACCCGAAUAAUUAAAAGCCUUAUUGAAUUGUUACAUUCAGUCUUAAGAUUUUUUGUGAAACUCACUUCAAAAAUUUAAAGAUGGAUAUACACGUUAGGAGCUAUAUAACCUAAAGGUUACCCCACCAUUAUCGUGCUGAAUAGUUGCAGGGUGGAAAUUAAUUGCGAUUGAGUAGGUAUAAGGGAGGUAUAUAAUACGAGAUGCACCUACAGUGGUAUAUAUAAAAUUUAGUCCUGGUAUCUAUGAUGAGUUUAUUUACAACCACUGGGUCGAUGCCACUGCUGGUGGAGAUUUAUUUUCCGCGAGGUAGUUCACAAGCCCAGUAGUCAGCACUCUUUGUGCUGACAUGACAUGAAUUAUCAUUGAUAUUGUUAGUUUUAUAAAUUAACUGUUUACAAAAUUUGAAUUUUUUGAAAUACUAAGGCUUUUCUUCCUCAGGCAUAGAUUACCUUAGCUGUAUUUGGCAACACUUUUAGGAAUUUUGGAGUAAUGCUCUUCAACUUCGUACUUUAUUUGACUUUUUAUAACUUUUUUGGAUUCGAUCGUCACUGAUGAGUCUUUUGUAGACGAAACGCGCGUCUGGCGUAUAUAUAAAAUUUAGUCCUGGUAUCUAUGAUGAGUAUAUUUAUUGCCUACUUAAAAUUCUAUAAAUAAAACAAUUGAAUAAAGGAGAAUGAAAUGUGUUCGGUAUUACAUCUACUUGAACGAUGCACAUGAUUCGCUGCUGUAUACCUUUUUUUUAAAGCGAGGUAAAAUCAAAUAUACACCUCGGAUAAAUGAGCCCUUUACAAUAAUACCUCCUGCUACUUGAUUGUUCUAGAAUGUAUAUCGCUAUAACAAAAUUGGUACAGAAAAAAGAAACUUAUCUUUAAGCUUCCACGCUUUUCAAACAAUCUGAAAUUAAUGACUCUCGUCAAACUGAAUUGAAUCAGCAGAUUUCUUCUUCCGCAAUGUUAAGGUUCUGUAGGCAUUCAAAUGAAGAUAGAGUAAUUCAUUAAAUGAGUGUAUAGGCUUGUAUGUAUUGAGAAUUAUUUGUAUCGCUUUUUGAAAUUUACAAAGAAUUGAUUUUUUUGUAUGCGGAUUGUGUCCUGUUUCCCUCCUAUCCUGCAAAUAUCAAAUCUUAAUCAAAACUUCAGUUCGCAACUAAUAAUAUCUUCUUCACGCACUUAUGUGACUUUCUGGUGUUUUUUUUUUCUGAUAGGAACCCUGCAAAAUAUGCUUUUUUUUGUCAAAAUUAAUCGAUAGUUUUGACUGAUAAUUAAAAGUGUAUUUUAUUGAUCGAAUGCUUUAUAGAAUGAUAAAGAACCCCGUGAUCAAAAUCAAAUUUCCAAUCUAGGAACUUAUUAUGUAAGGCAGAUUUUGUCAUAACACUGAUAACAUUUACCCUGACCACCCUAUAAAUCAUCAGUGAGUGACUUCUUGGUAUCAUAUUUUCAAGAUACAGGAAUUAUACAAUCAUAUCUUUCGUUUAGAAUUGCAAAUUAUUCCCUGAUAGAUGAAAAGAUGAAAACCAUAUGUAUUGUGAACAGAGUGACCCUUGAUCUAGCUGAUUAUAACGCAACACAUGGUACGAAUAUCGCCGAUAACAGUAUUACAUACAAACCAAGUACAACCUCCAACCUUUCAUGUUACGAAAAAAACAUUAAUCCAAUAAAAAGUUUAUCCUUAAUGUCGCACAAUGUUUUGAUAUUAUGCCCUUUCCUGAUCUUUCUUGUCAACCACACCUUGAAAUUUUCUUAUAAUUUUUGGAUUCAUGUAUUUCUGCAACACAAAUUUAUGUGUUUUAAAUAUAUGUCUUUGUCAAAAAAGAAUACAUGUACAUUAUUUUAAAAGAUAAGCUAUAUCAACCCUACAUGUAUCUGUGUUUGCAGUUUCCAAGAUUUGAUGUUUAACAAUAUUAUUUAACAAUUUUAUACAUUAUAUUUGAUUUUCAGACAUACUAGUAAAUGCAAAAUCUCAUUCGUUGUCAAAGCUUUGAUAUCUGUUAACAUGAUCGAAUUAUAUAUAUCGGUUUACAGUUGUUACAAUUCAAAGACCACAUGUGUCUCUAAGUAUUUUAAAAGUUGAUCCGACCACAAGAGCGUAUUACUAUCCCUUUACAAGAUUACACUGGCGGGAAAAUCAAAUAGAUCAAUUGGAACAAGAGAGAUGGGUCACAUUGCAGAAAAUGGACUUUGCAUUUUCUAUAAAUUUAUCUAUUACAGUUUCUAAGCUACAGUUAUAACAUAAGUAAAGUUGGUUAUCUUAUUAAAAGAAGGAAAUAAAGAUACGAUUGUCAAUGACACAAUAAAAGGAAAAAAAUGUAAACAACUAUCUUACUUUAUUUGAACACUUGAUAUGUGUUCUAAUACACAAACAAUAUAAAUCUGACAUUACUCUCUGUCAAAUCUUUCACCAAUAAAAAUCAGCCCCUUUGGAUUUCAAACUUGAAUCUUACUCUUUUGAUUUUAAUUAUUCUAUAGGACGAGCAGUAAACAGUUAUUCAUAUUUUUAUAGUUCUGUUUAUCAAUUUCAGAUUUCGUGUUUUUAUUAUUGUGCUGUAAAGGAUUCACAGCCCAAAGAAGUGGUGAGUAAACAUUUGCAUACACAAAUUACAAUAAAGCGCUGAUAUCAUUAUGCUCCUGACGAUAUCACCAACAACAUUAGUUGAUACUCGGGAAAGCACGUGGCAUUAGGUAAAAAAAAGGGGAAAACAGGAUCAACUUCAUGUUAAAGUAUAUACCGUAGCCAGGGGGGUUGGGGGGGGGUUCGGGGGGUUCGGACGACCCCCCCCCUUUAAAUCAAAUAAGCACUGUUAAAGUCAACGUUUUGUUCAAAUUGUGACUGUUAAAGUCCAGUUCAUGAGACCAACGAACCCCCCUUGGAAAUUCCUGGCUACGGGCCUGAUAAGGCCAUAUAUGAUAGCUCGAAAACAUAAUCCGACUUCCUUCACAUUAUUGACUAUUGACGUCUAUAAUAUGCCAUUGGUAAUAUGCAUGUUAAAUUUGCCACUAGACGUCAGCUAUGUAUUACCAUCAGCUAGUUUUACCGGUUUGAUUUAUUAAAAUUCAGAACCUUUUAUCAUUCAUCGUCAUGUUAUGUGAGUAAUCCUAUAUGUGACGGAGAGUAACACCAUGUACUGUAUUUUCUAAAGAAUUACUCCAAAGUCGAACAAUGCUAUUCCUGAGAGUUUUAAUAGACCGCUUACAUCAGCACGCCACCCUGGCCAGUGUUAAAUCAUUUAAAUCUUAAGACAUCAUUUACCAAUGCGAAUAAUUGAAAGUGUUGUUUUUUUAUUCUCCAUAUCAACUUUGUAACAGAAAACACAAAAAAUGUCAUCGAUCUUUUGCUAAUUGAUGUGCCUAUGAAACAAAUUACGUACAAAUUGCUAUUAAUUCAUUAUAUACUAUUACCAUCUUCAAGAUGUCUAGUUGCACCUGCAUGUUAAAGUAAAGCAUCUGGUAAUCUAAGAGCUUCACUAAAUAUAUUCUUAAAUAAUUUAUAAGAUUGAAAUCUAUCGCGAUUUUAAAGAGAUUUAUGAAAAAUAGAAAAAUAAUUAAUCAAAAAAUUGUAGAUAAAUAGUGUUACUAAUUAGUAACAUCUUCUGCUACCUAAAUGUAACCAUCGGUUUUAACUCACUCAUGUUGAAACCAAAAUGUAAGAUGUAAAUAAAAAUAAAUGUUUAAGAAAAACACAGAAAGUUUUGUCGCGUAUACUUCAUGGCGAGCUUGUCACUAAGUUUAUCGAGAUUCCGAGGUGGAUUUGACUGCAUUUUAUGAUCUCACAUAGAAAAAGAAGUUCUAUAUCAAUUAAACAGUAAUGAGUUAAGCCCUUUUAAACUGAUUUUUUUAGUUUGUUCUUAUGCUUUGCUUCAACACAAAUGUCCAAGAAUAAGCGGAAAGUUCAGCGCUCACGAACAUGUUUAAUCCUGACACAUUCUUAACGUGCAUCUCCAAAGUCUGUAAUUCAGUGGUUGUCGUUGUUUCGUGUCUGUCAUUUUUGAUUUUUCAUGAAUACUUUUGUUAUAAAUUAGACCGUAAAUUUUCUCAAUUGAAUUGGUUCACGUUUACAUGUCAGGACUGUUUAUAGCUGAAUUUACGGUAUUUUUUUUUCUCAUUGUUGAUGGUCGUACGGUGACAUUUGAUUGCUAUCUUCAUUUUAACUUUGAUGGAUAAAUACACCAAUGAUAUAAUCAUUAAAAUGCUGUUUUUUUAAUCGAUAACUUAUUUGUUAAGUUGGUGGAAUGCAUACUAAUUAUGCCUCACUACUGGUCGACAAGUAUGCAGAAUUCAUUCAUUAUCUCCUCACAAUCAGAAAGGAAAACAUUUUGCAAAGUUCAUCAAUUUCAGUUUCAGAGAUAUGGAUGAAGUUUUGUCUCUCACUAACCCACUUUGAAAUGAGUUGCUUACAUGUCAUAUAUCCCAGUGAAUUUGAAAUUAAGGAUACUAUUGAAUUCAAAGUGGUAGGUCUUCUUCAUCUGUUAAUCUCUGUAUCUAUGAUGAGUUUGUUCAUAUCUUGAUAUUUUUUUUUAAAUUGACACCGAUGGACGACCUCAAAUAAUAACUUAUGAAUAGCGUGAUGAUUUCUAUUUUCGAAAUCGCUAAUUCCCCAUACCCCAUGCAGGAGUAACAUUACCUCUGCGCCAUCAAAACGCUGUCACACAUCUCAGUUGACAUCUCAGUUCACAUGUUUCACAUUUGUAUAUGUUAACAGGGAUGUAAUCCUUACACGAAAGACAUAGUUGUAUGGAAGAACGAUAGCAAUCAAAACUACACAAUAUUUACGGUAACAAUCACCAAUUGGUUGACCGAUAAGAUUUUUCGAAUCUCAACUCAUUAUAGAUAUAUACUUAGCAGUCUUAGUUUUUUUAGAUAUCAGUAUGUUCAUAUGAUGUUUAAAUUUAAUGAUGAUGUCCUAUUUCAGUUUGUGAAAUGUUUACUGAGUAGGAGUUCGCAUGGUGUGUGAUGCAAGUAUAACAGGAGACGCUUUGGCUUUCGAUGCACACUUAAUUUCUUUUGAAGUUCAAUCGAUGUCAUCAGUUUUUGAUUGUUACCAUGAUUUGUCUCUUCCUUAUCACUUUACUAGAUUUAAACAUCGGUUAACUACUGUUGCCUUAAUUUGUCUCUUCCUGAUCACUUUACUAGAUUUAAACAACGGUUAACAAUGUUGUUACUUAAACUAUUGAUCUUACAUUUACUAGAUUUAAAAUCGGUUAACUAGUGUUGCCUUAAUUUGUCUCUUCCCUAUCACGUACUAGAUUUAAACAUCGGUUAACUAUGUUGCCUUAAUUUGUCUCUUCCUGACUCACUUUACUAGAUUUAACGGUUUAAAUCGGUUAACUAUUGUUGCUCUUCUGAUCACUUUACUAGAUUUAAACAACGGUUAACUAUUGUUGCCUUAAUUUGUCUCUUCCUUAUCACUUUACUAGAUUUAAACAUCGGUUAACUAAUGUUGCCUUAAUUUGUCUCUUCCUUAUCACUUUACUAGAUUUAAACAUCGGUUAACUAUGUUGCCUUAAUUUGUCUCUUCCUGAUCACUUUACUAGAUUUAAACAUCGGUUAACUAUUGUUGCCUUAAUUUGUCUCUUCCUGAUCACUUUACUAGAUUUAAACAACGGUUAACUAUUGUUGCCUUAAUUUGUCUCUUCCUGAUCACUUUACUAGAUUUAAACAUCGGUUAACUACUGUUGCCUUAAUUUGUCUCUUCCUGAUCACUUUACUAGAUUUAAACAUCGGUUAACUACUGUUGCCUUAAUUUGUCGCUUCCUUAUCAAUUGAACAGAAUAAAAGAUGUUGAGGACGGUAAAAGUGGAGGUUUGUGGAAAAUCUGGUUUAUGAUGUAAAGUGGUAUAUAUAUUUUUUUUAUUAAGACUCAGUUUUUUAUUACAACUGAUAUAAUUAUCAUUGUGAAGUAAGAAGUAAGUGGAGCUCAAAGUCCCAAAAAAGGUUAGGGAACAAAACAUGGUGUCUGCGCUGACACCACAAGCCCCAGGCAAUAUAUGAUAUUUGAGUGGAGAGACAUUGAACAGAGAUGGAAAGAAUAAAAUAUUAACAAGACCUUCAAUGAGCAGCUGGUAAAAUUACAGAUAGAAUAAGCUAUUGCUCCAACGAAUUUUACAAUGAUUCAUUGAUAAGGUUGAAUUGACAAUAAGAACCGAAUUAUAAAUCCAAAACUGGAUUUUUCAGACAUAUGAAUAGCAAAAUCAAGAAAGUGUACAAGUAAACAUAAAAUUCAUUUGAGAUUGAAAUAUUUAGUUCCUGUCAUGCCUUAAAAAGUUAUCAAAUGUACCAGGCUUAUAAUUUUAUACGCGUUUCGUCUACAUAAGACUCAUCAGUGACACUAAGAUCAAAAUUGUUAUAAAGCCAAACAAGUGCAAAGUUUGAAUGGAGAGACAUAGAAUAGAGGUGGUGGGAAUGUGAAUAAGACCUUCAACGAGCAGCUGAAGAAAUUACAGAAAGAAUAAGCUAUUGCUCUAACUAGUUUUACAUUGAUUCAUUAAUAAGGUUGAAUUUACAAUAAGAACCAAAUUAUAAAUCCAAAACUGGAUUUUCAGACAAAUGAAUAGAAAAAUUCAGAAAAGUGUGUUUUCUGAAACAUUAAAUGCAUUUGAGACUUAAUUAUCUAUAGUUCCUGCCAUGUCUUAUAGCUAUUCCAAGUGCACAGGUGUGUCUGUAAAUUCGACCCUAUUAGCAAAAAGAUUAUGAUGAACAUUAAAAAUAGUAAACACGACGUUUUUGAUUAUUGUACACCUAAAGUCAGACAUGCUUUCGAUAACUUUAUUCUGUUUUGCCUUCGAUGAUUGUAUACUGUCUUUGAGCAAUUGUUCCAUUGUCGAUUUUUUAAAAAGGCAUACUCAUAAUUUGAUAAGACAAUUGAAAGUUCAAGUGAAACCUUGACCCCAAUUUUGAAUGUUUCGAAGAGCUCAAAAGAGUGUUUUAUAUUCGUAUUCUGUACUUGGAUGUUUACUUUUAUUGGAGUAUUCAAACGAUUUCUUUUCAUACAUUUGAUAGUUACGUGAUGGUAAAAAUAUACAUAUUUUAUUGAAAAUUAAUUCAAAGAUGCAGAAUAUACCGAGGGGGGGGGGGUUAGAAACAUAAGAACAACAGUUUGCAACAGAAAUUUAAAAAAAAAACGUAGAAACAAACCACUAAUGAGAAAACUUAAGAUUGAUCAGCACAAACCCAAUUACUCCGGGCGGAUCAACAGUUCUUACACCCGUCAUGAUACUCCUGUUAGAAUACUUUGAUGUAUCCUAUCAUGUGAUUACGCACCAUACAAUACAUAUGGCGAUUUCGUUAAUGUCUCUUGUUUAAUCCUAAACCAUCUUUAAAUGGUAAAUUCUGUUAUUUUAACUGUUGACCAAACAUGAUGAUUCGACAUGCAAAUUUUCUUGGUAUAGACACUGACUUCCUGGCUUUACGUGAGAAGAAUGCAGAAACAUGUUAACAUAAUCACAAUUUUUAUGAAUAUAACCAUCUAACAUUAAAAUAAAUAAAAAGCACCUGCGUACAUUAAUAGAGUUUAAAACCAAAAUUAAAACUCGUUUUGAUAAAACACGGUCGCUAUCAGAAAUACAGCUGUGCCCUGUGUUUUUCACAGAACCUUUUCUCCCAUUGGUCCUUGAAAAGUGGUAACUGAUAUUAAAUUGACUUCAUUAAAAAAGGAACUUGUAUCAAGUGAUUGACUCUGGAAUUGCAUUUCCUGUAAUCUAUCAUUUGUGUCAACACCUACAAAAGUUUUACAUUUUUUUUUACAUAAUAAGAUUUGUUAUCUCGCAUUAUGUAAACCUUUAGGUGUUUUUACAAACAUUUAUUACAUAUUUAAGAGAUAACUAUUUGUCUCACAAGUAAACUGUGCAUGCUUACUACCUACAUUAACAUAGCAGUCCUCAAGAAUAAUGUUUUAUAAAUUAAUGCAAAGUUUGGCGUGUAUAGCUAUGAGGGGUACGGUGGUAAAAUUCCUUAAAAUUGGGUUCAUUCUUUUCAAUAAUUAAAAGAAGUAUACUUGAUGUAAAAAAUAAUGAUAUAUGAAUAAUAAUAGAAAAAUACUCGUCAUCGCAUGGAUUACCAUCAUUUGUUUUUUUUUAUAUAAUAUUAUGUGCACUUGAGUAUAUCAUUUCGUCAGUUGAUGUCUCACCUUACGAUCGUCAUCCCAUAUACCAGAACCAUGUAAUUCUUUCAACCACUUUGCUUUGCUGCACCGUCAUUGAUGGUCUUUUGGAGUCAUAUAAAAAAUGUCAAAAUGUCAUUUAGAAUUUGCAAAAAAAUCCUGAUAUGGAGGUAUAAUACUCUCAAACAUCGGCAUACGUAUAGAGAGAUGUUAAAUAUGUUUCAAACUGUUUGUACUUUGUAUCUUAUUGUUGCCGUCUGAAAUGGCUGGUAUUGCACUUUGCUACUUGUGAGCCAAUUUUCUGUAAAAUGAACAUUCUCCUUAUUCAUUUUUUCUCUAUAUUUCUUAAUAUUUACAGAAAGUCCAGGUUCACUGACACUUUCUGAUCAACCAGAGAUAAGUGAUUCUGUACCUCCAAGAUGUUGGAAUUUCACUUAUGGAGACCCGUCUGAAAUGGAGUUUUUUAGUCCGAACUUUCCUAGCAAUUAUUCUACGAACCUGAAUUGUGCCCGUUAUAUUGAAG
rnacentral:lncRNA from 1 species